UGGGGAAUAUUGCACAAUGGGCGCAAGCCUGAUGCAGCGACGCCGCGUGAGGGAUGACGGCCUUCGGGUUGUAAACCUCUUUCAGCUAUGACGAAGCGCAAGUGACGGUAGUAGCAGAAGAAGGACCGGCCAACUACGUGCCAGCAGCCGCGGUAAUACGUAGGGUCCGAGCGUUGUCCGGAAUUACUGGGCGUAAAGAGCUCGUAGGUGGUUUGUCGCGUUGUCCGUGAAAACUCACAGCUUAACUGUGGGCGUGCGGGCGAUACGGGCAGACUGGAGUACUGCAGGGGAGACUGGAAUUCCUGGUGUAGCGGUGGAAUGCGCAGAUAUCAGGAGGAACACCGGUGGCGAAGGCGGGUCUCUGGGCAGUAACUGACGCUGAGGAGCGAAAGCGUGGGGA
rnacentral:rRNA from 1 species